AUGAACGCUGGCGGCGUGCCUAAUACAUGCAAGUCGAACGAGGUGCUUUUGUAGCAAUACGAGAGUAUCCUAGUGGCGAACGGGUGAGUAACGCGUUGGUGACCUGCCCCAAAGUGUGGGAUAACAGUUCGAAAGGACUGCUAAUACCGCAUGUGGUCAUCGGAUCUAGAAACCGAUGUCUAAAGCAGUAAUGCGCUUUGGGAGGGGCCUGCGUCCCAUCAGCUAGUUGGUGAGGUAACGGCUCACCAAGGCGACGACGGGUAGGGGACCUGAGAGGGUGGCCCCCCACAAUGGAACUGAAACACGGUCCAUACACCUACGGGUGGCAGCAGUAGGGAAUAUUGCACAAUGGGCGAAAGCCUGAUGCAGCAACGCCGCGUGUGCGAUGAAGGCCUUCGGGUCGUAAAGCACUUUUCUGAGAGAUGAGAAAGGACAGUAUCUCAGGAAUAAGUCUCGGCUAACUACGU
rnacentral:rRNA from 1 species